ACAUAUAAAGAAUAGUGUCCUUGAUCGAAUGUUCUAGUUUCUUUUUAACGUAUUUUCGUAGAAUUACAAAAAUAGGUCCUACAGUUAAAAAUAAGUGACAGAAAUGACCCUGAAUAAAUUAUAAUUCACAAUUUUCAUGAUUAAUCUACAAGAUUUUAUGGAUAAAUGUUGUUUUAUGGAUGUAAUACGCUUAAAUGUUUCAGUGAAUAUAAUUAACUUCCGUAAAGAUAGUGUUAUAAGAUAAAAGUACAGUAUUUUCGCAUGACACAUUUAUAAGACAUUUCUUUAUUACUAACUUACUUACAAAGCGGACACUACGGCAUGUGAUUAUUAAAAAAACAUCAUUGUCUUCUUCAAUGCAAUAUCAUUGAAUAAUUAAACUAUAUCGGACAUAUAUUGUUUAUAUUUUCUUCCAGCUGAUUCGUUGUUGCGUUUUAUCCAGAUUGGUCAGAAUUAUCCCUAUAUAUGACACAGAAAAGAAAAGUCGAAAGUAGAUGUAGACGGUUUAACCAAAUGUUUUGAGAUAGAGUAUAUAAGUAAACCAAUUUCUGACUGUCAGCAAAACCUCUUUCAUUAAAAGGCAGGCUGAAUAAAUAAUGCUAGUCGAAGAUGAAAACAUUGACAACUUACCCUUUUGCCGUGAUAGUGAUUAUUUAUGCAGUGCUCAUGAUGCAAAUGAAUUCAAGUGAGGGCGGUAGAAAGAGAAAAAGAUGUCAAUUUAAUAAGGAACAUACUGAAUGUGUUGAUAUAAUACCAAAGAGGGCAAUGAAAUUCAAGAUUUGUCCAAAUUUUGAUAUAGCUACUCGUGGUAGGUGCGCAAAAAUAGGUGGUUACUGUACAAUAAUUCCUAGAGGAGGAAAAAAUCGUUGUAUUUGUGACAAACACAGAUAUUUUCGUGAUCAACCAUGGGGUCCAGUACGCGAUUUUUGAACAAGUUGACGAAGCGUUAAUUCUUCAAAGGUGGUGGAAAUUUAAAUUUAAAGACAUAUCAAUAAGAAAUGUGUAUUUAUUUUUCCACAUACUUAUAAGCAGAACUCAACAUUAUUAUUAUCAUUAUUUUGUUAUUGUUUUUGUGGUUGCUGCUGCUGUUGUUGAUAUUUUUUUACUUUUUAGUUUGCCUUAUUUGUUAGUACUAUGUACGUGCCAAUGGGUUUCUAUUUGAAUCAUGUUAUAAUAAAUUGUUAAUGGAUUUA